GAGAUGGGAAAUCUGAGGGAGAGGCUGUAAUUGACUUGUUAAAUGCUUGCGUGAAUGUUGAUAAUAUGGAUACAUUGAACUCGUCUGGGAUUGAGCAUAAGGAUUUGGAUAGCAUAGUAAGUGGCACAAAGACAAAUGGAGCUGAAAGCAGUGAUAAUGAAGUGGAAAGUAGAAUAAAAGAAGNNNNNNNNNNNNGGAGAUAUUGCACGGGCUUCCCGGCAUUAUAGAAGUGUUUCAAUGGAUAGCUACAUGGGAC
rnacentral:misc_RNA from 1 species